rnacentral:rRNA from 1 species
GCAUAUCAAUAAGCGGAGGAAAAGAAACCAACAGGGAUUGCCUUAGUAACUGCGAGUGAAGCGGCAAAAGCUCAAAUUUGAAAAUCUGGCGUCUUUGACGUCCGAAUUGUAAUUUGGAGAGACAUCUUCGGAGUAGACGCCGUCCUAAGUUCCUUGGAACAGGACGUCACAGAGGGUGAGAAUCCCGUGCCUGGAUGGCUGUUCUACUUCAUGUGAAGUGUCUUCGACGAGUCGAGUUGUUUGGGAAUGCAGCUCAAAAUGGGAGGUAAAUUUCUUCUAAAGCUAAAUAUUGGCGAGAGACCGAUAGCGCACAAGUAGAGUGAUCGAAAGAUGAAAAGCACUUUGAAAAGAGAGUUAAAAAGUACGUGAAAUUGUUGAAAGGGAAGCGCUUGAGACCAGACUCGAUCAGUGGUGAUCAGCGGUGCUUCUGUACCGUGCACUUGCCAUUGAUUGGGCCAGCAUCGGUUUAGACGGCGGGAUAAAGACCUAAGGAAUGUGGCUCCUCUCGGGGAGUGUUAUAGCCUUGGGUGCAAUGCCGCCAGUUUGGACCGAGGACCGCGCUUCGGCUAGGAUGCUGGCGUAAUGGUCUUCAGCGACCCGUCUUGAAACACGGACCAAGGAGUCUAACAUCUAUGCGAGUGUUCGGGUGGAAAACCCUUGCGCGUAAUGAAAGUGAACGGAGGUGAGAACACUUCGGUGUGCAUCAUCGACCGAUCCAGAUGUCUUCGGAUGGAUUUGAGUAUGAGCAUAGCUGUUGGGACCCGAAAGAUGGUGAACUAUGCCUGAAUAGGGUGAAGCCAGAGGAAACUCUGGUGGAGGCUCGCAGCGGUUCUGACGUGCAAAUCGAUCGUCAAAUUUGGGGUAUAGGGGCGAAAGACUAAUCGAACCAUCUAGUAGCUGGUUCCUGCCGA